GUCCGCGAGGACAAUUUGACAAUUGACCUCAAAUCAGUAUGUUUUGAAAAUUCUAU
rnacentral:rRNA from 1 species